UACGAAGGGUGCAAGCGUUACUCGGAAUUACUGGGCGUAAAGCGUGCGUAGGCGGUUUGUUAAGUCCGUUGUGAAAGCCCUGGGCUCAACCUGGGAAUUGCAGUGGAUACUGGCGAGCUAGAGUGCGGUAGAGGAUGGUGGAAUUCCCGGUGUAGCGGUGAAAUGCGUAGAGAUCCGGAGGAACACCGGUGGCGAAGGCGGCUUCCUGGACCGACACUGACGCUGAGGCGCGAAAGCUAGGGGAGCAAACGGG
rnacentral:rRNA from 1 species